CCUACGGGUGGCAGCAGUGAGGAAUAUUGGUCAAUGGCCGUAAGGCUGAACCAGCCAAGUAGCGUGAGGGAAGACGGCCCUAUGGGUUGUAAACCUCUUUUAUGCGGGGGUAAAGGUGUCCACGUGUGGAUCUUUGCAGGUACCGGAUGAAUAAGGACCGGCUAAUUCCGUGCCAGCAGCCGCGGUAAUACGGAAGGUGCGGGCGUUAUCCGGAUUUAUUGGGUUUAAAGGGGGCGUAGGCCGGGCUUGAAGCGUGCCGUGAAAUUUUGUGGCUCAACCACGGGAGUGCGGCGAGAACUGGAGACCUUGAGUGCGCGGAAGGCAGGCGGAAUGCGUGGUGUAGCGGUGAAAUGCUUAGAUAUCACGCAGAACCCCGAUUGCGAAGGCAGCAUGCCGCAGCGUUACUGACGCUGAAGCACGAAAGCGUGGGUAUCGAACAGGAUUAGAUACCCUAGUAGUC
rnacentral:rRNA from 1 species